rnacentral:lncRNA from 1 species
AGCGGGAUGCUUCCCGGGAGGAGGGGACGGAGGCUGCAGAGUGAGGAGGAGGAGGAGGAGGAAGGCUUUGGGCUGCCUCUGCCGCCUACAGCAGCUUGUCUUCCUCCUCAAAGUGUUCUUCCUCCGUGUAGUUGCUUUUCAGGGCCUUUUUAAGCUUGGUCCAGAAGAGCUUCUGGGCCUCGGGCUGCGGAGACCAGCUGAGGUAGGUCUUCUUGAGCAUCACCUUCCGCAUGCGGUGGUAGGCGGAGAGCUCCGCGUUGGGGAUGGCCUCCAGGAAGACGAGGAUCAGCACGUCCUUGAGCUCGUCGAAGAGGCGGUAGCUGGCCAGCUGGAUCUCCAGGGAGCACCACUCGCUCUGCAGGUAGCUGCGGCUGAUGACGCAGAUGGUCUUGCGGCUGUUGUAGAUGCUGUCCACGAUGUUGUCGAUGAUGCUCUUCCCGGGCCUGAAGUCGCGGUGGUGGAGGCAGAGGCGGAAGGAGACCCGGGCCCCGAGCUUGGCCACCAGCUCCUGCAGCACCCAGCCCUCGUCGGCCGAGUUGUAGGAGAUGAAGCUGUCGUACUGGUACUGCUCCUCCUCCUGCCGCCGCCAGCGCUCGUUCACCCAGCUGCGGAGGAUGUAGAAGUGGUACUUGAGGCGCCAGUAGGCCCGGUGGUAGAGCAGCGGCAGCACCAUGAGGAGCAGCAGCGCCGGCGCCGUGCCCGAGAACAGGUGCAGCUCAGCGGACACUUGCGCAAGUCCAAGUAGCGCAGGGCGCCCAGCCGCUGGGCCACGCUCUGGUUGACCGUCUGCAGCUCGUUCUUGGCCAGCUUCAGCGUCUUCAGGCGGCUGAGGUUGCCGAAGACCUCCAGGGUCAGGGAGUGGAGCCCCACGUUCUCCAGGUCCAAGGUCUCCAGGCGGGUGAGGUUUUUGAAGAUGCCUGGCGGCAAGUCCUGCAUCCCGUUGCUGCUGUCCGCCAGCGUCAGGUACCGCAGCUGGGCCAGGUCGUCGAAGACGUCGGAGGGGAUGGAGAGCAGCUUGUUCUGCGACAGGAAGAGGGUGCGCAGAGCCGUGAGGCCCUGGAAGAACUUGUGGGGGAUGAUUUUGAGGCCGUAGGGCUGCUGGGCCUGCAGCUUGAGGUCGUAGAGCUGGUGCAGGUACAUGAAGGGGGGCUGCUGGCUUUGCUGCUUCGUGAUGUACUGCAGGUUGUUGCCCUUCAGAUCCAGCACCUCCAAGGUGGCCUGCACCGGGUGGAAAAUGUCGCUGCUGAUCUCCUGGAUGUGGUUGCCGUCCAGGUAGAGCUUACGGAGGCGGCACAGCCCCUGGAAGGACUUGCCCGUCAAGUGCCGGAUGUUGUUGCCCCCCAGGUCCAGCGUCUGGAGCUGGCUCAGGUUGCUGAAGACGUGGGAGAAGAGGACGGAGACGUGGUUGUUGCGGAGGUUGAGCGUCUGGAGCUGGCCCAGGUCGGCGAAGCUGCUCUGGUAGAGGUCGGUGAGGAGGUUGUUGUCGAGCCGCAGCUCGGUGAGGUUGCGCAGGCCCUGGAGGGCGUCCUUCUGCAGGUCGGCGAUGUUGUUGAUGUUGAGGUGCAGGACGCGGAGGCUGGGGGCGUAGCCGAAAGCGUGGCGGCUGACGAUGAGGAUGCGGUUGAAGCGGUAGGAGAUGUUGUAGAGGUGGGGCAGGUGCGGGGCCGCCUCGCAGGACCGCAGGUUUUUCAGCAGGUUGUGCUCCACCACCAGGUUCUGCAGGCCCUGCCGCUGCCUCCAGCUCAGCAGCUCCGCCACGC